GUUGUUAAAAGAAAUAUAUAUCGAAGGGCUGCUUUUAUCCGCAUGGACUUGAGGAGAUCAAUGAUGCAUCCCUCUCUACAAAAGUCCAUGACGAUUCGGACUCUUUAGGGAUAGCAAAUAUCAAGUCCUGAAUCCAGACUUGAUUCCAGAUACUGCACACCCCUCUUCUAGGGAAGGAGGGAGCACGUGAUGCCUUGGGCGGCAUGCAAAACCAAGGAGAGAGGGAGAG
rnacentral:lncRNA from 1 species